ACGAACGCUAGCAGCGUGGAUUAGGCAUGCAAGUCGUGCGCGAAAGUCUUCGGACGAGUAAAGCGGCGAAAGGGUGAGUAACACGUAAUCAACGUACCCCCCAGACCGGGAUAACCUCUAGAAAUGGUGGGUAAUACCGGAUGGACUUAUGGCAGGGCAUCUUGCCAAUAGUAAACGGUGGCUUCGGCUGCUGCUGGGGGAGCGGGUUGCGGCCUAUCAGCUUGUUGGUGUGGUAACGGCACACCAAGGCGAUGACGGGUAGCGGGUCUGAGAGGAUGAUCCGUCACACUGGGACUGAGACACUGCCCAGACUCCUACGGGAGGCUGCAGUCGAGAAUCUUCCACAAUGGGCGCAAGCCUGAUGGAGCGACGCUGCGUGUAGGAUGAAGGCCCUAGGGUUGUAAACUACUGUCACGCUAUAGGAACCCACAGUCGUUAAUAGCGGCUGUGCUGACCAAAGCGAAAGGAAGUGCCGGCUAACUCCGUGCCAGCAGCCGCGGUAAUACGGAGGGCGCAAGCGUUGUUCGGAAUCACUGGGCAUAAAGAGCAUGUAGGCGGUCUAUUAAGUCGGAUGUGAAAGCCCUCGGCCCAACCGGGGAACUGCAUUCGAUACUGAUAGACUUGAGGACAGGAGGGGUGAGUGGAACUUCAGGUGGAACGGUGAAAUGUGUAGAUAUCUGAAGGAACACCGGUGGCGAAAGCGGCUCACUGGCCUGUCUCUGACGCUGAGAUGCGAAAGCUAGGGUAGCGAACGGGAUUAGAUACCCCGGUAGUCCUAGCCGUAAACGAUGGGUACUAGGUAGUGGGUUUUCCCUAU
rnacentral:rRNA from 1 species